UACAUGGGGUGCAAACGUUGCUCGGAAUCAUUGGGCGUAAAGCGCGCGUAGGCGGUUACUUAUGUCGGAUGUGAAAGCCCUCGGCUUAACUGAGGAAGUGCAUUCGAAACUGGCGGGCUAGAGUAUGUAAGAGGGUCGCGGAAUUCCCGGUGUAGAGGUGAAAUUCGUAGAUAUCGGGAGGAACACCGGUGGCGAAGGCGGCGACCUGGGACAAUACUGACGCUGAGGUGCGAAAGCGUGGGGAGCAAACAGG
rnacentral:rRNA from 1 species